UGUAAGCAAUUGCUGUAAAUUAACAGCCAAUUUUCAACAGUAAAACACUGUUUUCAUGUUAAACAGUUUAGUACUGUAGUUAGCAAUGCAUUGUGGGCUGAUUAAAUUGGAGCAACAAGACAGAGGCCCUCAACAGUAAGUUGAUGUUUUAAAUUACAGGACAAUACAGUAUUUUCUCGAAAAUGCGUGUUGACUGGGGAAUUUGGAGCACGGUCAGAAGCUAAGCAAUGUUAGUCUUAUAAAUUGAAGCUAGCCUAUUACUUUUGGUCAAUUUUCUUUAAAAAAUACAGAUAUAAUUUGCCAUUAACUCCUGGAUGGAAUUUCGGGAACCAUUAUUUGGAUAGGAGAUUUUCCAGAAGAGGACGUACAAUUUAGAUGACGUGCUGCACAUCGUCAAGUGUUCUUCAUCAAAUUGAUCGGGUCUUGCAUCUACAAAUGAAACGGUAUCUGCCACUGCAGUUGAUGUUGAGACAACUCUCAGUCUUCCUGCAAGUCCUCGCCUGAUACCUGUUUCAAGUGCUACAAGGCAAGUCACAAUUAAAGGUUGGAUGAUCACCUUUAAGGGCUGUGUAAUCUCUGAGGGCAUCACACCAACAUUUGCAAUUGGACUUGCUGCUAUGUUUGCAACCUACAACAUUUUAAGCCUUCAGUAUCAAGAUGAGACAGCCUGCCCUGUGGAAUUCAAAAUUAAUGUGUUUGUAUGUUAUGCAUAAAAUGGAAUUAGUACUGUACAUUUCAAGCCUCAACACUUACACACCUACACAUACACACACACACACGCACGCACGCACGCAUGCACGCACGCACGCACGCACACACACACACACACACACACACACACACACACAGGGUAUAGACUUUUUUAUAACUCCAUUUGAUGUCAUUAAAUCCACUCAAUUUGUGCAAUGAAGAAGACAAAAAACAAUUAAUUGCUUUUGAUUUCAGGCGCUUCAUUGAUAUAAAUCCAGAGAGAGGGACAAAUGCCAAAAUCAUCAAGCAAGGUUGUCUCUAAGAAGAAAGGUGUGAUGGUCCAGAAGUCGUCUUCUGCAGUCAUGUGGCCAUGCUACUGAAGAAUCUCCUUGACUUUUUAAUGGAACUUCAUAUAGAUCUUGGCAGCACUGGAAUAAUGCUGCAGAGAGGAACAGCGGCUAUCAAAGUGAUGAUCGUCUCUUCUGGAUCCACAAGAACUAAGAUGUAAAAACACAAACCUACCUCACAGGACAAUUUUAAGAGGUAACCUGCAAGU